UACGUAGGGGGCGAGCGUUGUCCGGAUUUAUUGGGCGUAAAGAGCGUGUAGGCGGUUCGGUAAGUCUGUCGUGAAAUCCUGAGGCUCAACCUCGAGACGCCGAUGGAAACCCCCUGGCUAGAGUCCGGAAGAGGAGAGUGGAAUUCCUGGUGUAGCGGUGAAAUGCGCAGAUAUCAGGAAGAACACCCGUGGCUAAGGCGGCUCUCUAGUACGGUACUGACGCUGAGACGCGAAAGCGUGGGGAGCGAACAGG
rnacentral:rRNA from 1 species